UACGUAGGGUGCAAGCGUUAAUCGGAAUUACUGGGCGUAAAGCGUGCGCAGGCGGUGAUGUAAGACAGAUGUGAAAUCCCCGGGCUCAACCUGGAAACUGCAUUUGUGACUGCAUCGCUGGAGUGCGGCAGAGGGGGAUGGAAUUCCGCGUGUAGCAGUGAAAUGCGUAGAUAUGCGGAGGAACACCGAUGGCGAAGGCAAUCCCCUGGGCCUGCACUGACGCUCAUGCACGAAAGCGUGGGGAGCAAACAGG
rnacentral:rRNA from 1 species